UUUUUUUUUUUUUUUUUCUUUUCUUGCCGAAAACGCUGUCGUUUUGUUUCUUUAAAAAAAGAGAGAAAAAGCCCUAACGCUGCCUAAACGGCUACCCCAAUCCCCAGUACCCCUCCCCUGACCCCUGGACCUGGAGGCUGGAGCUCUGGAAGCCUCUCUUCCUCACCUCAUCACACCAACAAUCUCGAGUCUCAACUUCUCGAGUCUCUUCCUCCCCUCAUCACACCAACACUCUCUUCCUCGCAGUCUCUCUCAGUCUCGAAGGUUCUCUUCCUCUGCUUCGUCUCGCCGGCUUCACAGUGUGUCCGAGUACGUCGGGUUCGUGGCUCCGCGUCUCUCGUCAUCGUCGUCGCGUCUCCUGCGUCGCUGCUGCGGUGCUACCUCUCCGUCGCGUCUCCUCCGUCGCUGCUGCUGUGCUGUCUCUCCGUCGCCGGAAUCUGCCUCAUCCAGGUUAGAGACAUAUAUGAUAGUGGAGAGUACCUUGUUUUGGUUACUACUGAUCGCCAGAGUGCAUUUGAUAGAAUCCUUGCUUCAAUUCCCUUCAAGGGACAGGUUCUUAACCAGACAAGCUUGUGGUGGUUUGAGA